rnacentral:rRNA from 1 species
GAGCCCGGCCGGAUAAGUCUCUUGGGAAAUCUGGCAGCUUAACUGUCAGGCUUUCAGGAGGUACUGUCUGGCUCGAGGCCGGGAGAGGUGAGAGGUACUUCAGGGGUAGGGGUGAAAUCUUGUAAUCCUUGAAGGACCACCAGUGGCGAAGGCGUCUCACCAGAACGGACCUGACGGCAAGGGACGAAAGCUAGGGGCACGAACCGGAUUAGAUACCCGGGUAGUCCUAGCCGUAAACGAUACUCGCUAGGUGUCGGCAACGGUGCGACCGUUGUCGGUGCCGUA